GUCCAUUAGACUUCAAUAUAGAAUUGACAGAGCAGGUGAUUCCAGUUUUAAGGAAGUUAACACAGUCCUUUAGGUUGCAACAGUAAUUGUUGAAAAUUAAAAUAGAUCCUGGUUUGGAUAGUGGUUAUAGUCUUUCAGACUCUAACAUAAUGAGUAAUAUCAAUAAUUAGGGAUGAAUAAUUAGUAAAAGAGACUUUUAAUAGAGUAAUCAAUAUGCAAUGGAAUCCCAGAGGGCAGACUUGUAAAUCUUUUCCAGAGCAGAGUGGAUUAUGGUUCCCUGUAGUAUGUGGAGGAAUGCAGGAAUCUGUGGUGACGUCUGUUCCUAGUAUGGGGGUGGAGAGUUUAGAGUAGCUAGGAUCAAGUCAGAGAGGUUCGGUACACAGGUAAUCAAAUAGUAGAGCUCCGUCAGCAAACAGCAACCAGGUAGCAAGUAUGCGAGAGGCACAAACCAAACAAAAAUUGAUUGAGCCCUUUGGAUGUUGCAGCUUCCUUUUGAAGGUGGGUAGUGCCAUUUGGACUUGGAACAACGUGGAGGAAUCCAGAAGAACAUGUGGGAAUCCUGACAAGAGUGUGUGAGGGUGAAGUGUGUUUGUGAGCGGUGCAGUGUGUGUGUCUUGGGGGUGUGAUGGUUGCAGUGCGUGUGUGAGGGAUAAAGUGUAUAUGUGUGUGAAGGGCAGUGGCGGAUUCUGGGGGGAGUGCAAUGGGCACAUUUCUGGGCAGCCAGCACAUAGAGAAGAGGAGACCCGGGAGCUUUAGCUUGCAGCUCUGCCGGGUCUCCUCUCGCGAGCACGGAGAAUUUCCACUGUUACCAUGGCAACAAUCCUUUUUCACGAGAGUGAACUCUAGCCCAGGAGGUGCAGGCUGGAGUUCACUCCCCACUAGAACCGCCAGGGAUUCACCACGGAUUGGAAAUAAUAUCCUCCCUCCCAAACAAAGGUAAAAAGGGAGGGGGAUAUAAAUUAAUUUUAAAAAAACAAAAAAACAUUUGU